rnacentral:lncRNA from 1 species
UUCUGUUACUUUCUAUCAGUUCAUCAAAGAAAAUGAGGACAAUUUUUUUUUCUCAGCCAGAUUAUCGCUGUUAACUGCUCUCAACUACUUUGUUCUUUGGAAGGAUUCGGAAUUUGAUUUUAAGACGUGAUGCGUUUGGAAAUUAUCAGUUUAAUUUUAUUCAUAUGUAAUCUCUUUUUUCCAAAGAUUUAUUUAUUUUUAUGUGCAGGAGUGUUUUUGCCUGCAUGUAUGUAUGUGUACCACAUGUGGCCAGAAGAGGACACUGGUUUCCUUACACCUGCAGUGGGAGUUACGGACAGUUAUGGGUUGCCAUGUCGGUGCUGGGAACUGGACCCAGACCCUGUGCAGGAGCAUUGCUAAGCCAUCAUUCCAGCCCUUGACCUUUUUUCCCCUUUGAGACAAUAUCAUGCUCAGCAGUCAUCUUCGUUCAGAAAUCACUACUUUCUCAUCACUUCAAAAGCUCCACUAAGAGAUGGCUAGUCACAGCACGGGAGAAAGGAGAGGCUAGACAGUGUCUCUUCCUCACGUACAAAGCGACAGGAAAGUCUCAUUCAGAACUGGGUCUCAUCUUGCAUGCUCCGCCCACACUCCUGUUCCAGGAGGUUCUCUGCUUCUUGUCAUCAAGCCCAGAAUGCCUGCCUCUGCCUCAAGUGCUGUGAUCACAAGCCUGCGUCAUCAUGUCCAGCACGUGUAGCACUGGGGACCCCACUCAGGGCUUCCAACAGGCUGGGUGAGCCCCCUGUCCACUGAGCUACACCCGCAGCCUUGUUUGGACAUCUCAAGCUUCCAUAUGUUGUUUGUCUGUCGUAGACAGUACCAUGGGGAGAGGAAGAAUGCCAGUUUCCCCACUCCAGUUUCCAGCACAGCACUUAACCGGAGCCAAAGACAAAGCUGUGCGGAGAGCCAGCCGCAGGAAACUCCUGACGUUGCUUCCAGGCAGCAGGCUCGGUUCUGGGAACCAGUGUGCACUGCUUAACGCAUGACUCAAUCUGCCCAGAACCUGCCAGGGGAGGGCAGUAGCUCCUUGCUUCACAUUCUUGUCUCUGUCUUCCCCCCCAGGAACUGUUUGCAGAUCCCAUGGAUGCUACCUGAGCUCCGGAAUGCCACCCCUUCUGCUACAGGGCUUCAGUCCCAAGUCCCACCCGGCCAAAGAACUGGGCUCCUUGCCAGCGUUCCUGCCCCAUCCCAUCCUACCUUCCUGCCAACUGUCAGAGAUAUCAUCAAUAAAUUGUUUGAAUUAUUCAAUUCUAGAGAUUAAAUACUCCCCUGCUCCCCAAACCCAGAGAUAAAAUCAAACUCAAAACAGUUUGACGGAAAGCCGACCGUGUUUUGUAAUCUGCCCCACCCCCACCCCUCCCAGGUUCCUCCUGGCUUCUUUCUCAUCACUCGCCCAGGCAUGGUUCUGGUGUUGAGGCAUCUGCAUGCCUCUCCUCCUUCAUCUGGCUAUUUCCCUUCUUCAGACUCGACUAGAAAUUGUGCUCAGGGGCUGGGGGUGUAGCUCGGGGAGUGGAAUGAUCCAACUGGGCUGGGGUUCAGUUUCUGGCGCUAUGUAACAUGGAGAGGGGUGUAUGUGAGCUUGUGUGUAAUUGCGGUACUUGAGAGGUGGAGGCAAAUGGACCU